GGAGAGUAGGCAGAUAUUGGUUUGCUGCGGCAUCCUGCUAAGAUGUUUCCCGUUUAACCAUGGGAUGAAGGUUCGAUUCCUUUGCUCUCCG
rnacentral:tRNA from 1 species